UAAAAAAUUAAUGAAGUUUUGUUGGACUAUGUAACAACUAGUUGGAGUGGUUAAUCUGUUCCUUUACAUGAUAAUGUAUACUCAGAUGCAUCUUGUAAUGUGGUAAAAUAGUUUUUUAUUCUUAUUUCUUUUUCUUUAAAAAAAUAUUUAAAGACUUCUUUGUUAAAUUGUAAUUAAAAUUUUUUUAUUUGGUUCUGACAGAGGAGGGGGUGGCUUGCUCCUCUUUUUAUAAAGACAAAUUAUACACCUCUAGGUGUAUAAAUUGCCUUUUAUGAAAGGGGGUGCAUAAAGGCAAUUUAUACAUACUAUACUACACAUUUUUAUUUCAAAAGGCUUGUCGUUUUUGUGUAUUUUUUUUUAGGUUGGAGUGUGUAAUUCGUCUUUUUUCAUGACAAAAUGGUUACUCUGAUGCAUUUUCAAUUGCAAGUUUCCAAAUAUAUGCAAAGUAAAGUAAGUAAAGAAAACAAUACUUUUCAAUUAGUAAAUUUAGUAUUAUUAAUUAAUUUUAAUUUUUUACAUUUUUUAUCCUUAUUUUUAUAACAUGAUCAAUUAAAAUGCACUAGAACUUUGUUCUGGUGCAUUUUAAUUGAACUAAGUAUAGAAUUUUAAUUUAUUAACCUGGGUAAAUAAAUUUCCAAUUGAGAGAGUUGGCACAUGUAUUAAAGUUCUGUCACAGUUGACUCAGCAAGAAUGAAAACAUUGAUACACUUUUGCAUUAUGGAAUACACAAGUUGGCAGUUCCUUGCCCACUGCCACCCAAAUACAGGUAUAAGAAAUCCUUAUCUGUACGUAACA